GGAUGAACGCUGGCGGCGUGCCUAAUACAUGCAAGUCGAGCGAACAGACGAGGAGCUUGCUCCUCUGACGUUAGCGGCGGCCGGGUGAGUAACACGUGGAUAACCUACCUAUAAGACUGGGAUAACUUCGGGAAACCGGAGCUAAUACCGGAUAAUAUAUUGAACCUCAUGGUUCAAUAGUGAAAGACGGUUUUGCUGUCACUUAUAGAUGGAUCCGCGCCGCAUUAGCUAGUUGGUAAGGUAACGGCUUACCAAGGCGACGAUGCGUAGCCGACCUGAGAGGGUGAUCGGCCACACUGGAACUGAGACACGGUCCAGACUCCUACGGGAGGCAGCAGUAGGGAAUCUUCCGCAAUGGGCGAAAGCCUGACGGAGCAACGCCGCGUGAGUGAUGAAGGUCUUCGGAUCGUAAAACUCUGUUAUUAGGGAAGAACAAAUGUGUAAGUAACUAUGCACGUCUUGACGGUACCUAAUCAGAAAGCCACGGCUAACUACGUG
rnacentral:rRNA from 1 species